AGUGAACGCUGGCGGUAGGCCUAACACAUGCAAGUCGAACGGCAGCACAGAGGAGCUUGCUCCUUGGGUGGCGAGUGGCGGACGGGUGAGGAAUACAUCGGAAUCUACUCUGUCGUGGGGGAUAACGUAGGGAAACUUACGCUAAUACCGCAUACGACCUACGGGUGAAAGCAGGGGAUCUUCGGACCUUGCGCGAUUGAAUGAGCCGAUGUCGGAUUAGCUAGUUGGCGGGGUAAAGGCCCACCAAGGCGACGAUCCGUAGCUGGUCUGAGAGGAUGAUCAGCCACACCGGAACUGAGACACGGUCCAGACUCCUACGGGAGGCAGCAGUGGGGAAUAUUGGACAAUGGGCGCAAGCCUGAUUCAGCCAUACCGCGUGGGUGAAGAAGGCCUUCGGGUUGUAUAGCCCUUUUGUUGGGAAAGAAAUCCAUCUGGUUAAUACCCGGGUGGGAUGACGGUACCCAAAGAAUAAGCACCGGCUAACUUCGUGCCAGCCGCCGCCGUAA
rnacentral:rRNA from 1 species